UACGGGAGGCAGCAGUGGGGAAUAUUGCACAAUGGGCGAAAGCCUGAUGCAGCUAUGCCGCGUGUAUGAAGAAGGCCUUAGGGUUGUAAAGUACUUUCAUCGGGGAGGAAAAAACAAAACUAAUAAUUUUAUUUCUUGACGUUACCCGAAAAAGAAGCACCGGCUAACUCCGUGCCAGCAGCCGCGGUAAUACGGAGGGUGCUAGCGUUAAUCAGAAUUACUGGGCGUAAAGAGCACGUAGGUGGUUUUUUUAAGUCAGAUGUGAAAUCCCUGGGCUUAACCUAGGAACUGCAUUUUGAAACUGAAAUACUAGAGUAUCGUAGAGGGAGGUAGAAUUCUAGGUGUAGCGGUGAAAUGCGUAGAUAUCUGGAGGAAUACCUGUGGCGAAAGCGGCCUCCUAAACGAAUACUGACACUGAGGUGCGAAAGCGUGGGGAGCAAACGAGGAUUAGAUA
rnacentral:rRNA from 1 species